rnacentral:rRNA from 1 species
UACGUAGGGCGCAAGCGUUGUCCGGAAUUACUGGGCGUAAAGAGCUCGAAGGUGGUUUGUCGCGUUGUUCGUGAAAACUCACAGCUCAACUGUGGGCGUGCGGGCGAUACGGGCAGACUGGAGUACUGCAGGGGAGACUGGAAUUCCUGGUGUAGCGGUGGAAUGCGCAGAUAUCAGGAGGAACACCGGUGGCGAAGGCGGGUCUCUGGGCAGUAACUGACGCUGAGGAGCGAAAGCGUGGGGAGCGAACAGG